UCCCUGGUGGCUCAGAGGUUAAAGCAUCUGCUUGCAAUGUGGGAGACCUGGGUUCGAUCCCUGGGUUGGGAA
rnacentral:tRNA from 1 species